AUGCGUGGGAGGACUACCCGUUGUGCAAUCACAGGGGGCAUCGCUGUGGAGUGUACGUACCCUACAAGAUCCCGGGCUGGGAAACUAACGUCCGCAAGCAGAAUUGUUGCCACCCUCUUUGGUGCGACGAAAACCUUCACAUUUGCAGGGAUGGCUAGGGGCACGUUUGACGUCCUGGUCGCAGACGCAGGUGCUCUCGGAGCACGUUCCGGCGACGAGGUAGGUGCAUUGGAGCGGGACGUGCGGGCCGAACACGUCGGUGGCCGUGCUGAAGAACUGGCAGUAGAACCUGCAGUUGCUGUUGACCCGGAGUCUGUCCACGCGUUUCUUGGUGAAUUUCAAGAAGGCGCACGGGUCCAGGAGUUUGUUGACCACGAGUUUGAUGAAUUCCCGCAACUGCGCGACGGAGGGGAUCGGCAGGUGUCCGUCGUGGUCCGAAUCCGAACCCGUCAUGGUUCUGAAUAUGUUAAUUGCCUUUUAAAAAACAAUAUUAUUACACACGGAGGAAAAACUUCGUGCGUGGGACCCGAAGUUUAGGUCAUAUGGAUCUCUGAAGUUUUCGGAAUGAGCAUCUGAACGUUUAGGUCUAGCUGUCGAGGUUCGGAUCACACAUCUGAAACUUCACUUCUUAUACAUCUGAAGUACUUCAGAUGUGAGAACCGAAGUUUUUCGGAUGUUAAAACCGAAAUACUUCAGAUGUAAGAACGGAAGUUUCAGAUGUGUGAUCCGAACCUCGACAGCUAGACCUUAAGUGUUCAGAUGCUCAAUCCGAAAACUUCAGUGAUCCAUAUGACCUAAACUUCAGGUCCCAUGCACGAAGUUUUUUCUCCGUGCAAUAAAUAUUUGAGGAAUAAUGGACCACUAGACAAGGUACGAAUUUCAGCAUUCUGAUGCAUGGUCCUUCACCGAAGUUGCACGUAAAACACGAUGCGCACAACGAAAAUUACCGCAAUCAACUCCUUCUGAAGAUAUUUAAUGAGUCUUGGUGCGUGAAUUGAAACCACCCGCUCAUGGAAACUCAAUGCUCUACGUGAUACACAUCGCGCGCUAAACGUUAUCAUGAACGUCUCUAAAAUUUAAAAGAAAAUUUAAAAUAAACGUCUCUGCGAUGAAUAAAUCUGGCAACCUCAAUCUUCACGCUUUGGCUCAGCUAUAGCAAAUUACUUAAAGUUUAAAAAACAGAUGGUGGGAAACGAACAUUGGUCAAUUGAGAAGCUUGCUGAAACCGUUGUAGUGCGUUGACUCACGUAGAGCUUUGAGUCUCUUGUGAGCGGGCAGUUCAAAUUCCUCGUAACCAAAGUGAAAUAAAAAUGUGAAUAUCUCCGUUAGGAGUUGGUUUCAGUAAUUGUCGUUACGCAAAUCGUGUUCUACGUGAAAUUCUGGUUAAGAUACAUGUAUUUAGGAUGCUUAAAUUCGUACCUUGUCUAGUGGUUCAUUGGACGUAUUAUGCUAAAAUGAACUAUUUGCAAGUGGAAAGAAGGGGUAUGCUCGUGGAAGCUGCAUAAGAAACACUGUAAAUGUGGAUAUAGUUCCUUUUGAGAAAGUGGAACAGCGGGAUUUGACAUUAAAUCAACAGGAACUGAGCGCUAAUUUGUGAGCCGUGGGCACGUGACAAUAGCCUUGUGGACAGGGCUCAUGAGUUAAAGAGUCCCGGUCUCGGUCGUUGCCGCUGACGUCACUGGCGCUUUUAAAUUCCCAUUCAUUCUUAUGGCCCUCAACCAACGAUCACACCCCAUCUUUCUACUUGCACGUGGUUUCAUUUACCAUAAAUACGUCCAAUCGUCUCAUACAUACAUAAGAUUCGCUCUCACAGCGCUCUCUGGCGCUCUGCGACGCCUAACCGCCACAAAACUCGGUCCUCCCACAACCCAUUAGGGAGUUGGCACUCCCGCAUCACUUCUAAAACCCCGUGUCUCCAUCCUUUCACCGGGCGUCCCAUUCGUCUCCUCCCGGGAGGAUUUUUUUUUGAAAUUUUCAGCCGAAAGCUGGAGGUAUUUUGUGUUACUUCCCGUAUUAACCAAACUUUUGUGUUGAAAUUUUUUUUUGUGUAUACACUAUCGUGCUGUCAUCGUAGGAUAACACUAAAGCUAAGCAGGGAGCACUCUAUAUCCGACACCCAACGUCUUGACGGAAGAGUUUUGCUCUCGGGUAAUAAAGGAAGAUGCCGAAGCAUAUUAGCGCCUUCAAGAUUGCAGGAAUACUUCACGUAUUGCGCCAAACCCAAUGGGGUCGCUGGUCGGCGCAAAAGGCAUAUUAGCGCCUACAAGAGGGCAGGAAUACCUCACGCAUUGCGUCAAACACAGUGCGGUCGCUGGUCGACGCAUACAUCAAGACAAGCUCUCCAUGCAAAGAUAGGGAGCAAAUACAUUAGCAGGGUUGCCGUGUUUUCAGUUUCAGACUUCUCAAUUAAAGUGGCAGCCCUGCUAAUGUAUUUGCUCCCUAUCUUUGCAUGGAGAGUCUGUCUUGAUGUAGAAGUGGACUCUCAGGAUAGCGCGGGAUAUCCCCACCAUUUUGGCCUCUAUUUGAGAGCUUUUUUAGUUGAUCGUAGAGAAAAUCAGUGAGACUAUCGUGUUUCUCGCGAACUUUUACAUAAGAAUCAAUAGUCAAAUCGCAAAUUCCUCACACAUGCAACAUCUCCAUUCGGACGCAGUUCUAUCAAACGGAACUAUGUGCAUUCUGGCGUGAGCCUUGUUAUGCACAUAUUCUUAUGGGUCUCAGAGUGCUCAUGUCUUAAUGCACGUAGUUCCGUUUGAUAGAAAUACGUCCAUUUAUGUCCCUUAGCUGUUCGGUCAUGACGUCGAUUACGAUGUCAUUUUCGACUUCCAUGCUCUGACGCUCUCUUUCAUUGCAGAAAUCCCUCUUGGCUGUAAAUCUCUCACAUUUAGUCCCUG
rnacentral:lncRNA from 1 species